GAUGAACGCUGGCGGCGUGCCUAAUACAUGCAAGUCGAGCGAACGGACGAGAAGCGUGCUUCUCUGGUGUUAGCGGCGGACGGGUGAGUAACACGUGGAUAACCUACCUAUAAGACUGGGAUAACUUCGGGAAACCGGAGCUAAUACCGGAUAAUAUUUUGAACCGCAUGGUUCAAAAGUGAAAGACGGUCUUGCUGUCACUUAUAGAUGGAUCCGCGCUGCAUUAGCUAGUUGGUAAGGUAACGGCUUACCAAGGCAACGAUGCAUAGCCGACCUGAGAGGGUGAUCGGCCACACUGGAACUGAGACACGGUCCAGACUCCUACGGGAGGCAGCAGUAGGGAAUCUUCCGCAAUGGGCGAAAGCCUGACGGAGCAACGCCGCGUGAGUGAUGAAGGUCUUCGGAUCGUAAAACUCUGUUAUUAGGGAAGAACAUAUGUGUAAGUAACUGUGCACAUCUUGACGGUACCUAAUCAGAAAGCCACGGCUAACUACGUG
rnacentral:rRNA from 1 species